rfam:Oryza nivara chromosome 8, whole genome shotgun sequence.
AAUAAGUACAGUUUUGCACUAUUCACGUUCAACGUUUGACCGUCCGUCUUAUUUGAAAAUUUUUUAUGAUUAGUAUUUUUAUUGAUAUUAGAUGAUAAAAUAUGAAUAGUACUUUAUGUGUGACUAAAUGUUUUAAUUUUUUCACAAAUUUUUCAAAUAAGACGGACGGUCAAUCGUUGAAUGUGAAUAGUGCAAAACUGCACUUAUU